GACGAACGCUGGCGGCGUGCUUAACACAUGCAAGUCGAACGGAAAGGCCUCUUUCGGGGGGUACUCGAGUGGCGAACGGGUGAGUAACACGUGAGUAACCUGCCCUUGACUUUGGGAUAACUUCAGGAAACUGGGGCUAAUACCGGAUAGGAGCUCCUGCUGCAUGGUGGGGGUUGGAAAGUUUCGGCGGUUGGGGAUGGACUCGCGGCUUAUCAGCUUGUUGGUGGGGUAGUGGCUUACCAAGGCUUUGACGGGUAGCCGGCCUGAGAGGGUGACCGGCCACAUUGGGACUGAGAUACGGCCCAGACUCCUACGGGAGGCAGCAGUGGGGAAUAUUGCACAAUGGGUGGAAGCCUGAUGCAGCAACGCCGUGUGCGGGAUGACGGCCUUCGGGUUGUAAACCGCUUUCGCUCAUGACGAAGCGUGAGUGACGGUAAUGGGUAAAGAAGCACCGGCUAACUACGUG
rnacentral:rRNA from 1 species